rnacentral:rRNA from 1 species
GUCUGACGGAGCACGCCGCGUGAGUGAUGAAGGCUUUCGGGUCGUAAAACUCUGUUGUUAGGGAAGAACAAGUGCUAGUUGAAUAAGCUGGCACCUUGACGGUACCUAACCAGAAAGCCACGGCUAACUACGUGCCAGCAGCCGCGGUAAUAAU